rnacentral:rRNA from 1 species
GACAGAGGGUGCAAACGUUGUUCGGAAUUACUGGGCGUAAAGCGCGUGUAGGCGGCUCUGUAAGUCGGGUGUGAAAUCCCACGGCUCAACCGUGGAAGUGCACUCGAAACUACAGGGCUAGAGUCCUGGAGAGGAAGGUGGAAUGCUUGGUGUAGAGGUGUAAUUCGUAGAUAUCAAGCGGAACACCGGUGGCGAAGGCGGCCUUCUGGACAGUGACUGACGCUGAGACGCGAAAGCGUGGGGAGCAAACAGG